rnacentral:rRNA from 1 species
UCAAGCUCUUAAGGGCACGCGGUGGAUGCCUAGGCGCAGAUGGCCGAUGAAGGGCGUGGCCAACCACGAAACGGACCGGAGAGGUGUAAGCAACCUGUGACCCGGUCAUUCCCGAAUGGGGCAACCCGGCACCAAAAGCGGUGUCAUCCCGAAAGGGAGGGCUAAGCAGGGGAACUGAAACAUCUCAGUACCUUGUGAGGAGAAAUCAAACGAGAUUCCCUGAGUAGUGGCGAGCGAAAGGGGAAGAGCCUAAACCACUCAGAUGUCAAGGUUGUGGCCGUUGUCUGAGAGGUGUUGAGGGGCCGUCAGGAGGAGACCACAGAUCCUCGCGCUCAACGCAUGCUAGUCGAGCGGUUCAGGAAAGACCGACCAUAGAGGGUAAUAGUCCCGUAGACGAAAGCAUAGCGAGCGGCGUGUGACGGUACCCAAGUAACGCGGGGCACGUGAAAUCCCGCGUGAAUCUGGGUGGACCACCAUCCAAGGCUAAACACCAUCUGCGACCGAUAGUGGACCAGUACCGUGAGGGAAAGGUGAAAAGAACCGGGAAAGCCGGAGUGAAAUAGAUCUGAAACCGUGUGCCUACAAUCAGUCAGAGCCCGACUUAUCGGGUGAUGGCGUACCUUUUGUAGAAUGGACCGGCGAGUUAUUUUCGGCAGCGCUGAGGUUAAGACGAUGAACGUCGAAGCCGUAGGGAAACCGAGUCUGAAUAGGGCGACAAGUUGCCGGAGAUAGACCCGAAACUGGGUGAGCUACCCAUGGCCAGGGCGAAGCGUGUGUAACAGCUCGUGGAGGCCCGAACCAGGGACGGUUGAAAACGUCUUGGAUGAGCUGUGGGUAGAGGUGAAACGCCAAUCGAACCCAGAGAUAGCUGGUUCUCCCCGAAAUAUAUUUAGGUAUAGCCUUGCGUGGUUCCCAUCGGAGGUAGAGCACUGAAAGGACUAGGGGCCUUACCCGGUUACCAAACCCUCUCAAACUCCGAAUGCCGAUGGGUAAAGCGCAGGAGUCAGUCCGCGGGGGAUAAGCUUCGCGGGCAAGAGGGAAACACCCCAGACCAUCGGCUAAGGCCCCUAAAUCUCAGCUUAGUGGGAAAGGAUGUGGAGAGGCACAGACAGCCAGGAGGUUGGCUUAGAAGCAGCCACCCUUAAAAGAGUGCGUAAUAGCUCACUGGUCUAGUCUUUCUGCGCCGAAAAUGUAACGGGGCUCAAGCUGAGUGCCGAAGCCGUGGAUCAACAUAGUUGGUGGUAGGGGAGCGUCGUGCGUUAGGACGAAGGGUGACCGUAAGGGCGCCUGGACGAAGCACGAGUGAGAAUGCCGGUAUGAGUAGCGAAAAAGAGCGUGAGAAUCGUUCUGGCCGAAAACCCAAGGUUUCUUAAGCAAGGCUCGUCCUCUUAAGCUCAGGCGGUCCUAAGGCGAGGCCGAGAGGCGUAGUCGAUGGACAGCAGGUUGAUAUUCCUGCCCCACUACUUGGAGCGAUGCAGGGACGCGGUGAAUAAGGUGAGCGACUUACUGGAUUGUCGUCCCUGGGCGUAGGUGUGCCGUAGGCAAAUCCGCGGCAGUGAACCGAGACCCGGGGCGUAGGGCGCCGCAAGGCAACCGAAGUCAUCGGAUGCACCGACAGGAAAAGCUGCUAAGCUGUGAAGAGUAGUGACCGUACCGUAAACCGACACAGGUGGGUAGGAUGAGAAUUCUAAGGCCAGCGUGAUAACCCUCGCUAAGGAACUCGGCAAAUUAGCUCCGUAACUUCGGGAUAAGGAGCGCCUCUGGUAAUUGGACCGCUUCGCGCGGGAAGGUGAAGGAGGUCGCAGUGAAAAGGCCCAGGCGACUGUUUACCAAAAACACAGGUCCCUGCUAAACCGUAAGGUGAUGUAUAGGGGCUGACGCCUGCCCAAUGCCAGUCUGUUAAGGGGAGGUGUGCAAGCACCGAACCGAAGCCCUGGUGAAUGGCGGCCGUAACUAUAACGGUCCUAAGGUAGCGAAAUUCCUUGUCGGGUAAGUU